AAAGAGGGACGCGUGCCCCCCACCUCCGGUCCCGGUGCCGGUGCCGGCCCCGCCGAGCGCUGCCUCCCGCCGCCGCCCGGGCUUUGCGCAGCCGCGCCCGGUGCGCGGGCACCGCCCCUCGGGCGUCGGGACCCCCGGGGACCCCCCCCCGGUGAUUGGGGUCGGUGAAACGGAGGGGUGCGACCCCCGCUUCCCCUUCCCCUUCCCCUCGUCCCCGUUCCCCGGUAGCUCCCCGGCCCCGUUCCCGGCUGCGAACGCGGCGCCGGGCGGAGCGAGGGGAACGGGCGGCUCCGGAGAGCGCAGCGGGACCCCAAAAACGGGACCCCAAAAAGGGACCCCAAAGGGGGGAUUUUCGACCGGGAUCCCAAAAAGGGUCCUCACGCCGGGAUUCGCUCCCGGGAUCCCAAAGCGCGAUCCCAAAGUGGGAUCCCCACCGGGAUUCUCCCCCCCGGGAUCCGGCACCAGGACCCAAAUCCAGGACCCCCAGCAGGAUCCCAAACUGGGAUCCCCACCGGGAUUCUCCCCCGGGACCAAAUUCCAGGUCCCAGUACUGGGAUCCGGCACCGGGACCCAAAUCCAGGACCCCCAGCAGGAUCCCAAACUGGGAUCCCCACCGGGAUCCUCCCCCGGGAUCCCAAAGCGUGACCCCGAACCGGGAUCCCCACUGGGAUCCUCCUCCGGGAUCCCAAAGCGCGACCCCAAACUGGGAUCCCCACCGGGAUUCUCCCCCCCGGGAUCCGGCACCAGGACCCAAAUCCAGGACCCCCAGCAGGAUCCCAAACUGGGAUCCCCACCAGGAUCCUCCCCCAGGAUCCCAAAGCGCGUCCCCAAACCGGGAUCCCCACUGGGAUCUUCCUCCGGGAUCCCAAAGCGCGACCCCAAACUGGGAUCCCCACCGGGAUUCUCCCCCCCGGGAUCCGGCACCAGGACCCAAAUCCAGGACCCCCAGCAGGAUCCCAAACCGGGAUCCCCACCGGGAUCCUUCCCCCGGGACCCAAAAUCCCAGGAGGACCGGGAUGCUGCACUGGGACCCUGCACCAGCACCCCAAACUGGGAGCCCCACUGGGAUCUGCUCCUGGGACCAACACCAGGACCCCACAACGGGAUCCUGCACCAGCGCCCCAAACCAGGACCCCAAACUGGGAGUCCCUCCUGGGACCCCAGACUGGGAUUCUCUCCCAGAACCCCAAACCAGGACCCCAAAGCGGAAUCCCCAAACUGGGAUUCUCUCCUGAAACCCCAAACUGGGAUCCCAAACCGGGAUCCCGAACUGGGAUUCUCUUCCAGAACCCUGAACCAGGACCCCAAACCAGGAUCCCAAACUGGGAUUCUCUCCUGGAACCCCAAAAUGGAACCCUAAACUGGGGUUCUCUCCUGAAACCCCAAGCCAGGAUCCCAAACUGGGAUCCCAAACCGGGAUCCCAAACUGGGAUUUUAUCCUGAAACUCCAAACUGGGAUCCCAAACUGGAAUCCCAAACUGGGACCCCAAACCAGGACCCCAAACUGGGGUUCUCUCCCGGGAUACCACACCAGGCCCCCCCACUUCCCUCUCCCAGGACCCCAAAGUGGGAUCCAGACCCCCCCCAGUGCCCCCAUACUGCUGUGGGGCUGAGCUGCACGAGCCCGGCCCCAUACUGGGAGCACCCCAAUACCGCGCACGGGGCUCUGAACCAGGCCCCCCCACUUCCCUCUCCCAGGACCCCAAAGUGGGAUCCAGACCCCCCCCAGUGCCCCCAUACUGCUGUGGGGCUGAGCUGCACGAGCCCGGCCCCAUACUGGGAGCACCCCAAUACCGGGCACGGGGCUCUGAGGGGGGGG
rnacentral:lncRNA from 1 species